AUUUUUUUAUUUACAAUGUUUUUUUGCAAUUGUUUUUGAGGACAUUGAAUAGUGCAUCCAUCUUAACCUUCCUAACGAUUAAACGUUAACCUAUCUUUCGAGGUUUGUGUUGAUUUUAUUUGUGAGGAGAUAGUAGGUUUUAUUAAUUUAGAAAGAAUGAGGAGCGGCGAUAACGAAGCGCCUAAUAUUCAGUUUAAAAAGAAGAAGACGAAACCUUUGAGGAAACGCGAGACUCUCUCGGAUGACAAUGUCAGAAAGGAGAGAUGAAGAUCAUUCAGAAACUCCGGGAGUGACUAGCUGGCGUCGAUAUUGUUUGGCGCUCGGAAAAAACGUCUCGUCCGAUAUGUUGACGUCGGAUCCCUUUAAUGAAAACCGGAGGAAUAAUGAAUAUGGCUGCGCUAAAGAAUACAAAACAUAAGCUCAAUGAUGCACGACACUGACAUUGGAAAGCAAUUUAACACAGAGAACAAUAAACCAACGAGGACGAAGAAAUGGUCAAGUAUAUGAAAGAAGAAUUGUCAAAGCGCAAAAUAAUAACGAUGCAGCGAAUAGUAUGAGUAAUGAUACGGGAUCACAUUGUUCACCAGAGAAAACAGUGUUGCGUGUGGUACUGCAACAUUUGAGGCAGAGCUCAACCAAUUGUAGCGAGGAAAUGCUUUUGAAUCAAAUGUUAUCUGGUCCAGAAGUCAAUCUUGGCAUAGAGUGACUAGGAGGAAAGCCAGCGUAGCCACGAUAUCUCGGCCAAUGAGCAGCACACAGGAUAUGACAAAGAACACCGUGAGGCAGUGAAAUGCUGUUUCUGGACGUAUGAUUCGCAGAAGGCCAUCUUUCAGCUGCGAAUCUUCGAAAUGGGAGAUCGAAAAACUAGAUCGUACUGAGUUAGUAAUAUUAUUGUGGACUUAGAUUUCUUUUUAUAAAUAUCUUGCACUAGUAUUUAAAAUAUCUAUUGAUCCUUAUGAUACAAUCAUUAUGUUUUCAUAAAAAAAUAAAAAUUGGAAGAUAUUUUUUUAUAUUUAAUUGAGAACAUUGUAAUUUGUGAUUAUUUUUUGAAAAUUUUUACAAAAAAUUAAUAUUUAUAUAAAACAUUAGAAACUCCUACAAAUUUUUGCUUUCAAUAAAUAUUUUUAUAUAUUUAUAGAAUUUUUCUAUAAUUAGGAUUGCUGAGUAAUCAGAAAUUAAGCGAUAGAUUAUAAAUAUAGAUAACUGUUUGGUAAAAUUUUUUUAUAGUAUAUAUAAUUACACAUGAUUAUGCAUAAUCAUAAAAAUAUUUUAUGUAUAAUUGUAAUGUACACUUUAUAUAGAUGUAAAAAUCAAUAGUUUAUAUGAAGAAUUUCAGAAAAGAUGCGAUUUCCUUAACAUGUAUGAAAAAUAUUUCAAUUCGUAUAAAUAAAUAUGAGAAAUUUAUUUUUAA
rnacentral:lncRNA from 1 species